CCUCUCAAUCAGGCACUGUUGCGUCUCCAGUGCGGUGUGAUCUGUGUUGAAGUAAUCUUUUAUGCAAUACUUGUAACAAAUAAAACUCUUCUAAAAUUACACAGAACAUGUAGCGUUUGAGACUUACAGCCAGCAUGUUAUCAUUGUGAAUAAUUUAAAGCAUCAAGUUAAAUAUAACUGCUGAUGAGAGGCAACUUAUUCGUGCUGCGGUGUUGGAGAUGCUCUGGGGUGCUGAAAGGACAGCGCUCUGAGCGCAAUUCAUUGGUGAAUUCGAGAUCCGUAAUGGGAUCGCCCGUCCCAUUUUAUUGCCAAUUCCUCGGGAUGGAGAAGACUGCAACCCGUCUGACGAAGAUGUUGCCUGACUUGCCAAGUUCCUGCAACAGCAUAUUUUCUUCUUUUAGGAUCCAACAUCUUCAGUCUCUUGUGUCUUGAAGUUAGUUGAUGCUCUUCAGAUACUGCAGAGAUACUGCACAGUAUGAACCCUUCGGGCCCAGUGACUGAUGAUAUCCAGCAACCCACCUAUUUAACCCUAACCUAAUCACAGAACAAUUUACUAUGACCAACUAACCUACCAACCGAUAUGUCUCAGGACUGGCAGAAAAGCAGAGCAUCAAGAGGAAACCAACAUGGUCAUGAGGAGAACAUACAAACUCCUUAAAGACAGCACCAAAACUAAACUGUGAACUCCACCAUCCUGAGCUGGAAUACUGUUGUGCUGACCAUUACACUACUGUAGUGAUUCAUCUCCUUGUGAGCUGUAGAUUUUCUUUAAUCUGCAAUGUGUAAUUCAAGAGAGUGGUGGCAGUCUGUGAAGCUGCAAUGAUAAUCAAGAAUCCUAUCACCAUCUCUGAAGAAUUAGUUAUCAUUAUUCAUUGGCAAUUCAGCACUCAGGAAUAUGCAUUAGGUAGUAGCAACCAGAAUCAGACUCAGAAUCAGGUUUAUCAUCACUGGCAUGUAACGUAAAAUUUGUUAAUGUAGCAGCAGUAGUUCAAUGUAAUACA